UGAGGAAUAUUGGGCAAUGCCCGCAAGGGUGACCCAGCAACGCCGCGUGGAGGAUGAAUGUCGUAAGAUUGUAAACUCCUGUUAGAGGGGAAGAAUAGUACCGGUUGGACCGGUAUAUGACUGUACCCUCAGAGAAAGCCCCGGCUAACUACGUGCCAGCAGCCGCGGUAAUACGUAGGGGGCAAGCGUUGUCCGGAUUUACUGGGUGUAAAGGGCGCGCAGGCGGGAUAAAAAGUCAGUGGUGAAAUCUUACAGCUUAACUGUAGAACUGCCUUUGAUACUUUUAUUCUUGAGUUCGGGAGAGAGAGACGGAAUUCCAGGUGUAGUGGUGAAAUACGUAGAUAUCUGGAAGAACACCAGUUGCGAAGGCGGUCUCUUGGUCCGACACUGACGCUGAGGCGCGAAAGCGUGGGGAGCAAACA
rnacentral:rRNA from 1 species